UUUUGUUCGCUUCUAAUUAACAUUGCACACUCGGCUUGCGUUUUUGUUAGCAGGGACUUAGAAUAUUUGUUCACUUUGAAAAAUCUCUAUAGCGCGCUUUCACCUUCCCCCCUUCUUCGAUCUCCCCUCAGCUCUACCGGCAAACACCACACUUAGUGGCCGGCCGACGUACUACCAAUAACCUGGUCCGACACGCUCCUCUCUGCUUUGUUCACCUUCCCCCCUUCUUCUUCCCGCUGCUUUUUUUCUCUCUCCUCUCACCUAAUUCCCUUCUCUGCUUCUCAGUUACUCUCCUCGACUCCUCUCAUCUGGUCCGGCAGAAAAGGAUUUCAAAAGCAGCACGACGGCGCUAUUAACCUCUCAGGCAUAUUUGUCUUUGUUCUUGCCGGGAUUUUUGGAAUUAAGUUUAGGAAAUUAGGGUUUGUGAAUUAGAAUUUGGGGAUUUGGGAGUUAGGGAUUUUCGUAUCGGCGGCAGAGCACCACCACGGAACCACUUGACCUGGUGGAUUCGACAUCGGCGUGAGUGGCUGACGACUGCCCGCAGUGGUGGUCGACGUAGCAAGCUAGGUACUAAAAGAAACUCUACUUCGACAUGGGUUCACAUUUGAAUCUGAUACUGAUGCUGAAGUAAUACCGAAGCUUGCUAAAUAUGUUUUUGACAAAGCAAAUGAAGGAGAAGGUAUUUAUUCUUUUUGAAUUGGUUGAUAUGGUGAUACUAAACACUACUGUUUUGAUUUCAUGUGUAUAUGAGUGUAUUCCAGCCAUGCCCUGGAGUUGAGACUUUUGAAGUUUUGAUAAUGAAACACCUUUUGCAUUAUAUUGAUUUAGAAGAACUUUCCCCUGUUCCUUUUUUUUUUUGGAGUGGAACGUGGACAUGUGGUUGAGUGGGUGAGAGUGGGGUGGCCGUGUGUUUGAACUCUUUACUCUGCAUUAAUUUCAAUAUCUCCCAGAAACUAUGCAUCCUCUUUCAAAUGUUUGAUUCUUACUCAUCCCUUCUUUUCACCUCUUACCCAUUUUUAAGUGAAUGGAUGAUUCAAAUCUCAAUGAAUAUGGGAAAAGUAGUUUGCUAGUGAAUGUCACAGUUAAAUUUGAGGCAUAUAUUCUUGAAAUAACCAAUUACCUGAAUCCAUCAUAUCACACUUUUCUUUUUGCAGCAGAGAACACAAUUAAUCUCAUUCAGUGAUGUUGUCCUAGAGGUUAUACGGAAUCUUGAUAGAGCAUAUGCACUUAUUUUUAAAAGCAGAUAAUAUGAUUUGUUUUUACUUGCAUGCAAAUGGGUUUUGGAUGGACAAAUGGAGCUGUAUCAGUGUCAAUAAAAGAAUUUGGUUGGCCCCAUGAUAGAAAACAUGAUUGUUAAUAAAUUCGGAGCUGAAGGUUUGAGGUUGCUUCUUUGUAAACAGUUGAAGGCAAUGUCACCAUGGUAGCAUUGACUGAUUUCCACGAAAGUUUGUGCCUUUUCCCUUCUUCUAGUCUUCCAGUAUUAAUUGCUGAACUGCUUUAUGUUUCAAAUUUGUUUAUCUUUGAAGCUAAAGUCUACUUGUUUUCUUCUAUGCUGCUUAUUUUUUGAAACCAUUUAAAGUUAGUGUUAGCAUGAACAA